GACGAACGCUGGCGGCGUGCUUAACACAUGCAAGUCGAACGCUGAAGCUCAGCUUUUGUUGGGUGGAUGAGUGGCGAACGGGUGAGUAACACGUGAGUAACCUGCCUCCUUCUUUGGGAUAACGCCCGGAAACGGGUGCUAAUACUGGAUAUUCACUGGUCUUCGCAUGGGGGUUGGUGGAAAGGGGUUUUCUGGUGGGGGAUGGGCUCGCGGCCUAUCAGCUUGUUGGUGGGGUGAUGGCCUACCAAGGCUUUGACGGGUAGCCGGCCUGAGAGGGUGACCGGUCACAUUGGGACGGAGAUACGGCCCAGACUCCGACGGGGGGCAGCAGUGGGGAAGAUUGCACAAUGGGCGCAAGCCUGAUGCAGCGACGCCGCGUGAGGGAUGGAGGCCUUCGGGUUGUGAACCUCUUUCGCUCAUGGUCAAGCCGCAACAAUGGUUGUGGUGAGGGUAGUGGGUAAAGAAGCGCCGGCUAACUACGUG
rnacentral:rRNA from 1 species